AGAAUGUGAUAGUCUACAGAAUGAGAUAGGCAAAAUACAACAAGAAUACAAUGAAUGCAACAAGAGAAUAAUGCAAGAACAAGAUCAGCUAGAGAAGGAAAAGAGGAAAAUAAAACCAGAAUUAUCUUCAGAACAUGAUCGACUUUUACAGAAUAAGACAGGAGAAUAAAACCAGAACAUGAUCAACAUUUACAGUCUCAUGUGAACACACAAUCAAAAAAGAAGAUAAAAAGUGUCGUUUACAAUAAGGUGGAGGUGAAGGAGAGAAUUAAGUGGUAUUUAACAUGAAGAGGUGGAACAGUCUGAACCCUAAAGAUAAAUGCGGGACUGUGGAUCGGAUUAAUGGGGUGCACUGGGCUUGUGAUUCUCCAUUUAUCUUUCUAUUUCUGAAUGGGAGCAUGCGAGAGGCUGCUUGAGGUUUAUGAGGAGGGUCUGGCCUCCUUUUAUGAUGAGUCCAUGCCUCAUAUCUACUCUUACACUUGUCAGUCUAAGAUUCAAUUUUGCAUCAUUAGAAAUUAUUAUUAUUAUUAUUAUUUAGAAAUAUAUUUUAACAUACUAUAAAUAUAUCUGUCCAGAUCACUGUUAAUGUUGUUUUAACACUUACUUUUACGACUCCUGAUGUAAUCAUCAUGAAUAACAUCUUUAUUUUAAAUUUGUCUAAUUUUCUGUGCUUUUUAUGUCUCAUUUUAGCACUUCACUGUGCUUAAAGUGGUCCUGAAUUGCAUUUUUUAUUAUUAUAUAACA